rnacentral:tRNA from 1 species
GCCUGAAUGGUCCAGUGGUAUGAUUCCUGCUUUGGGUCUCCAGGAAUGCAGGAGGUCUCCGGUUCAAUCCCGGAUUCAGGCC